AUUGAACGCUGGCGGCAGGCCUAACACAUGCAAGUCGAGCGGAUGAGAGGAGCUUGCUCCUCGAUUCAGCGGCGGACGGGUGAGUAAUGCCUAGGAAUCUGCCUAGUAGUGGGGGACGACGUUUCGAAAGGAACGCUAAUACCGCAUACGUCCUACGGGAGAAAGUGGGGGAUCUUCGGACCUCACGCUAUUAGAUGAGCCUAGGUCGGAUUAGCUAGUUGGUAGGGUAACGGCCUACCAAGGCGACGAUCCGUAACUGGUCUGAGAGGAUGAUCAGUCACACUGGAACUGAGACACGGUCCAGACUCCUACGGGAGGCAGCAGUGGGGAAUAUUGGACAAUGGGCGAAAGCCUGAUCCAGCCAUGCCGCGUGUGUGAAGAAGGCCCUCGGGUCGUAAAGCACUUUAAGUUGGGAGGAAGGGCUUACAGCGAAUACCUGUGAGUUUUGACGUUACCGACAGAAUAAGCACCGGCUAACUUCGUGCCAGCCGCCGCCGUAA
rnacentral:rRNA from 1 species